rnacentral:rRNA from 1 species
GAGGAAGGUGGNNNNGACGUCAAGUCCUCAUGGCCUUUAUGUCCAGGGCUACACACGUGCUACAAUGGCCGGUACAAGCCGCUGCAAACCCGCGAGGGUGAGCCAAUCGGAGAAAGCCGGCCUCAGUUCGGAUUGCAGUCUGCAACUCGACUGCAUGAAGCUGGAAUCGCUAGUAAUCGCGGAUCAGCAUGCCGCGGUGAAUACGUUCCCGGGCCUUGUACACACCGCCCGUCACAUCGCGAAAGUGGGUUGUACUAGAAGCAGGUGGGCUAACCGCAAGGAAGCAGCCUUCCAAGGUGUGAUUCAUGAUUGGG